rnacentral:lncRNA from 1 species
GUGGUUUGUGUCUCCUGAUUGGACUCCUACAAAUACAGAAUUGAUGGUAGGAAGGGUACCAGGAGAGAGACCCACACAGAUGGGAUUUGGGAAUAGGUUUGGUUAUCCAAGGAGCAGUGCUGAGCUCCUUGCUAAUGGGAUAUGGGUUGCUGGUGAUUUCCAGGAAGUGACCUCACAAUGACUCAAGCUACCACUUACUGUUGAUUGUGAUGAAAUACCAGGUGAAGGCCGGGUGCGGCAGCCUGUAAUCCCAGCACUUUGGGAGGCCAAGGCGGGCGGAUCACUAGGUCAGAAGAUCGAGACCAUCCUGGCUCGGUGAAACCCCGUCUCUACUAAAAAUACACAAAAUUAGCUGGGCAUGGUGGCGGGCACCUAUAGUCCCAGCUACUCGGGAGGCUGAGGCAGGAGAAAGGUGGGAGCCUGGGAGGUGGAGCUUGCAGCGAGCCGAGAUCCUGUCACUGCCCUCCAGCCUGGGCAACAGAGUGAGACUCCGUCUCAAAAAAAAAAAAGAAAUACCAGGUGAAGCAUAUGCCCUGCAAGCUUAGGGGUGCUACAGUUGACCACUGUAGCAGUAAAGAUGACUGAAGAAUGGCAUGGGAUGGAUCCUUUCGAAUGCACUUGAGCAGCAGUCUCCAACCACAGGGCCACAGAGCCAGAGCUGGAUCUACCAUGAAAGACUUCUGAAUCCAGGAAAAGAGACUGACUGGGUAACAUGUUAUUCAGGAGAUGGGGUCUCACCCUGUCGCCCAGGCUUGAGUACAGUAGUGCUAUCACAGCUCACUGCAGCCUUGAACUCCUGGGCUAAGGAUCCUCCUACCUGAGCCUCCUGAGUAGCUGGGACUGUAGGUA